AUAGAUAGAUAGAUAGAUAGAUAGAUAGAUAGAUAGAUAGAUAGAUAGAUAGAUAGAUAGACAGACAUUGACUGGCGAAUGAGAUGGCAAUAGCCUCUGGAUUAUUUUUCAUAAAAUACAUUAUUGCUCUUCCCACUUCUCUUCCGCAAUGACGCUUGAAUAGAUUUAUCAUCCUCUUCCUCUUCAUCUUCAUAGCUACCACAGUUUACCAAACACAAAUGCCAUAUUUCUGCCACAAAAGAUUUCCAAUAUUACAAAUUGACUGUCACCAGAGAAACCAUCACAUCACACCAUGACUGU